GAAAUUGUAGAGGGUGAAAAGACUGAAGUUGAGAACAAAGAGGGAGAAGUUGUGGCGGACAAGAAAGAUCCCAUGGAAGUGGAUACCUCUGAGUUGGAGAAGAAGACUGAGAGUGGAGCUGAGAAACCUUCCAAAGUUGAAGGCCUAAAGGACACUGAAAUGAAAGAACCGCAGGAAGUUGUUGCUGAGGGUGAUGGAGAGAAGAAGCCUACAGAGGAAGAGACCGAGAACAAGGGCAGCAUGACAACAGAAGCUAACGGAGAACAGAAUCUUAAUGCAGAUGCUGAAGCAAAUAAGGAAAAAGAAUCUGAUGCAAAGAAGAUAGAAGCUGAGGCAAACAAGGUGAAUGAAACUGAUGAAGCUGAUGAGAAGAAGACAGAAGCUGAGGCAAAUAAGGAGAAUGAAACUCAAGCACUUGAUGAGAAGAAGACAGACGCUGUAGCAAAUAAGGAGA
rnacentral:lncRNA from 1 species